GAUGAACGCUGGCGGCGUGCCUAAUACAUGCAAGUCGAGCGAAUGGAUUAAGAGCUUGCUCUUAUGAAGUUAGCGGCGGACGGGUGAGUAACACGUGGGUAACCUGCCCAUAAGACUGGGAUAACUCCGGGAAACCGGGGCUAAUACCGGAUAACAUUUUGAACCGCAUGGUUCGAAAUUGAAAGGCGGCUUCGGCUGUCACUUAUGGAUGGACCCGCGUCGCAUUAGCUAGUUGGUGAGGUAACGGCUCACCAAGGCAACGAUGCGUAGCCGGCCUGAGAGGGUGACCGGCCACACUGGGACUGAGACACGGCCCAGACUCCUACGGGAGGCAGCAGUAGGGAAUCUUCCGCAAUGGACGAAAGUCUGACGGAGCAACGCCGCGUGAGCGAAGAAGGCCUUCGGGUCGUAAAGCUCUGUUGUUAGGGAAGAACAAGUACGAGAGUAACUGCUCGUACCUUGACGGUACCUAACCAGAAAGCCACGGCUAACUACGUGCCAGCCGCCGCAGUAA
rnacentral:rRNA from 1 species